rnacentral:rRNA from 1 species
UAGGGAAUCUUCCGCAAUGGGCGAAAGCCUGACGGAGCAACGCCGCGUGAGUGAUGAAGGUCUUCGGGUCGUAAAACUCUGUUAUUAGGGAAGAACAAAUGUGUAAGUAACUAUGCACGUCUUGACGGUACCUAAUCAGAAAGCCACGGCUAACUACGUGCCAGCAGCCGCGGUAAUACGUAGGUGGCAAGCGUUAUCCGGAAUUAUUGGGCGUAAAGCGCGCGUAGGCGGUUGUUUAAGUCUGAUGUGAAAGCCCGCGGCUCAACCGUGGAGGGUCAUUGGAAACUGGAAGACUGGAGUGCAGGAGAGGAAAGUGGAAUUCCAUGUGUAGCGGUGAAAUGCGCAGAGAUAUGGAGGAACACCAGUGGCGAAGGCGACUUUCUGGUCUGUAACUGACGCUGAUGUGCGAAAGCGUGGGGAUCAAACAGG